GAUGAAGAACGCAGCGAAAUGCGAUAAGUAAUGUGAAUUGCAGAAUUCAGUGAAUCAUCGAAUCUUUGAACGCACAUUGCGCCCGCCAGUAUUCUGGCGGGCAUGCCUGUUCGAGCGUCAUUACAACCCUCAGGCCCCCGGGCCUGGCGUUGGGGAUCGGCGGAAGCCCCCUGCGGGCACAACGCCGUCCCCCAAAUACAGUGGCGGUCCCGCCGCAGCUUCCAUUGCGUGGUAGCUAACACCUCGCAACUGGAGAGCGGCGCGGCCACGCCGUAAAACACCCAACUUCUGAAUGUUGACCACGAAUCAGGUAGGAAUACCCGCUGAACUUAAGCAUAUCAAUAAGCGGAGGA
rnacentral:misc_RNA from 1 species